UACGUAGGUGGCAAGCGUUGUCCGGAUUUAUUGGGUUUAAAGGGUGCGUAGGCGGUUGUAUAAGUCAGUGCUGAAAUAUCCCAGCUUAACUGGGAGGGUGGCAUUGAUACUGUAUGACUUGAGUAGAGUUGAGGUUGGCGGAAUUGACGGUGUAGCGGUGAAAUGCUUAGAUAUCGUCAAGAACACCGAUAGUGAAGACAGCUAACUAAGCUCUAACUGACGCUGAGGCACGAAAGUGUGGGGAUCAAACAGG
rnacentral:rRNA from 2 species